rnacentral:rRNA from 1 species
GGUUAAGCGACUAAGCGUACACGGUGGAUGCCCUGGCAGUCAGAGGCGAUGAAGGACGUGCUAAUCUGCGAAAAGCGUCGGUAAGGUGAUAUGAACCGUUAUAGCCGGCGAUGUCCGAAUGGGGAAACCCAGUGCAAUUCGUUGCACUAUCGUUAACUGAAUACAUAGGUUAACGAGGCGAACCGGGGGAACUGAAACAUCUAAGUACCCCGAGGAAAAGAAAUCAACCGAGAUUCCCCCAGUAGCGGCGAGCGAACGGGGAGCAGCCCAGAGUCUGAAUCAGCUUGUGUGUUAGUGGAACGGUCUGGAAAGUCCGACGGUACAGGGUGAUAGUCCCGUACACCAAAAUGCACAGGCUGUGAACUCGAAGAGUAGGGCGGGACACGUGGUAUCCUGUCUGAAUAUGGGGGGACCAUCCUCCAAGGCUAAAUACUCCUGACUGACCGAUAGUGAACCAGUACCGUGAGGGAAAGGCGAAAAGAACCCCGGCGAGGGGAGUGAAAAAGAACCUGAAACCGUGUACGUACAAGCAGUGGGAGCACCUUCGGGUGUGACUGCGUACCUUUUGUAUAAUGGGUCAGCGACUUAUAUUCUGUAGCAAGGUUAACCGUAUAGGGGAGCCGCAGGGAAACCGAGUCUUAACUGGGCGUUAAGUUGCAGGGUAUAGACCCGAAACCCGGUGAUCUAGCCAUGGGCAGGUUGAAGGUUGGGUAACACUAACUGGAGGACCGAACCGACUAAUGUUGAAAAAUUAGCGGAUGACUUGUGGCUGGGGGUGAAAGGCCAAUCAAACCGGGAGAUAGCUGGUUCUCCCCGAAAGCUAUUUAGGUAGCGCCUC